UACGUAGGGUGCAAGCGUUAAUCGGAAUUACUGGGCGUAAAGCGUGCGCAGGCGGUUGUGCAAGACAGAUGUGAAAUCCCCGGGCCCAACCUGGGAACUGCAUUUGUGACUGCACAGCUUGAGUGCGGCAGAGGGGGAUGGAAUUCCGCGUGUAGCAGUGAAAUGCGUAGAUAUGCGGAGGAACACCGAUGGCGAAGGCAAUCCCCUGGGCCUGCACUGACGCUCAUGCACGAAAGCGUGGGGAGCAAACAGG
rnacentral:rRNA from 1 species